UUAACUGGACUGCAGGGCCCACUGGUUUCAUUACUUGUGAGAUCCAGGACUCAUUAGCAGCCGACGACUGCAGGCCGAACUGGGUUCACGGCACAUUCUGUCCGUUUAACGACGGUCAACGAGUGAGAGUGAAAGGGGCUCGGUGUACAUGUCCGACGUUCCGUUGCGUAAACUUCUGAACGGUGUUGCCUGGAACCCGCCAAAAUUAGACAACGGCAUUCCGGUGUUCUUGGAAACCCAUGGAUGACUCAUGAGCCACUGCCGAACGCACUCUAAUCAGGCUGUGUGUGGACCGCGGAGAGGCUCUGCUUUUCAGUCCCAACCCCCAGAGCUGCUUUGACGGGGGUUGUUGUCUCUUUUCACUGGAGAAAAAAUAAAAAUAGAAAAGAAUAAAUAAAACAUGAACGCAGAUACCAGCGGCUGCCCUCUUCGGAUGUCUUCGUGGGUUUUUCCUCACACCUUGUUCCUCUGUAGUCACCAGCCCACGCACACCUGACUCUGUGGUUUUAAAAAAAAAAAUUAUUUGUGAUGAUAGGAUUCUGCCUCUAUAUUCAUAUAUUGAGUUUAAGAAAAGAUGAGCUUUAUUUAGCCCUGUGGGAGUAAUUUGUCCUCCGCGUUUCGCCCGUCCUGGUUACUUAAGAGCAGUGGGAGCCCGCCAUGCGGCACUUAGGGCUGGUGAAGAGGCCCGUGCCGUAGUCAAGGGCGAUGGCGUAAGGGGCGACAUAGCUCAGGAGGUAAGAGCGGUUGUCUGGCAGUCGGUGGGUUGCCUGUUCGAUCCCAGCCCUGGGCGUGUCGAAGUGUCCCUGAGCAAGACACCUAACCCCUAACUGCUCUGGUGAAUGAGAGGCAUCAAUUGUAAAGCACUUUGGAUAAAAGCGCUAUAUAAAUGCAGUCCAUUUACCAUUUGAUGGCAGGUGCAAACGUAACCUGACAUGCACGUCUUUUGGUAUAUAACAUAUAUAUAUAUAUAUGUAUGUUUUGAUGAACGAUUUGGAUUCCUGGUCUUGUGUAAUGUAGGAAAAUAACACACUGGAGCUGAUCCGGAAGAAGGCAUGUCAUGAUAGCAAGUGCAACUGAAAAAUCGCAAAUAGCAAUAAAGUAAAAUGUAUUGCAUAUACUGGAUAUAUAAUUAACCGUGGAAUGAAUUUCUCAUCACUGCUACUAUUAACAAGCCAAGUGUUUUAGCCCGGAGUUUCGCUUUAACGUUAGCAGCAGCUGUUUUUUUUAUGUUUGGAGUCCUGAAGAGCUAGCAGUGGCUGACCUCCUUUCCUCGAAGGAUGCUUUCAUGUUGACAGGAGAGGUAACGAGCUGUAGGCACAGCCUGUCGUCCGCCUCUCAAACUGUCCUGCUCGGCUCUUUGUGUCGCUGUCAUCAGACGCCUGCCAAUCAAAGUGAAGGAUGCGAGGCCAGGUUUGAUUCAGCUGCCAGUUAGACUUGAGAUAUGGGCUGCUGGGUGGCUCAUCCGGUUAAGGCAGGGGUGCACAACUCCGGUCCUGGAGGGCCGAUCUGCAUGCUGGUUAUUGUUCCAACCGAUUACCAUAGAUAUAGUUUUCUAGACAGCUCUAUACACUAGGCUGGCUCACUCCUGCGCUUCAGCUCAGUAAAAUCUCUCGGCUGUGGCUGGUGCUUAUACACCUGUCAAGAUAUGAUUGGAGAUAUGACUUAAAUAAAUGUUGGCAAACGUUCACACAAAAUCCUGAAAUGGAUUGGCCCUGGUUCUGCACCCGAGUUAAGGCACCACACUGUGGCACAUGGAUGAGCCUCACAGCUUUGGAUCGGGUCUGGGCCGUGUCUGGGCCGACUAUGGUUGGUCGCCCUGUAGGGAAUGCGUCAUCCAGGGUAUGGGAGGGUUCAGUCAGUUGGGGAUCCGUGUUCAUCGCUCUCUAGCGACCCCUGCUGGUCAAUCGGUCACCUGUGGACUGCAUGUUAAAGCUGCGUAUGAAAGGGUCUUCCUCUGACUCCGCUCUGUGUGAGCUUAGCUGUGUGUCUGCGGUGUGAAAAGAAGCAUCUGUGUGACACCACGCGUCUCGGUGGAGAACCGAGGAUUUUCUACCCUCCCUCUCUGGAAUCGGAAGUGUGUUGGGGACCUGGAGCUGCUCAGCCCCAUGCUGAUCACCAAAUUUAUUAUUUUAAUUUUAAAAAAUUUUAAAGACUUCAGAGUUUUUCAGUUUCAGUUUCAGGUUCAAAGCCAACUCUUUUCACUCUAAAUUCUCCCUCAAAUCUUUGUUUGAUAUGCUCCAACUGCGGUGGUGGCGGUACCAACAACUCUCAAAAUAAAUGAAUACCCUCAGUGAGGGAGUCUAUGAAAUCGGAGAAAAGGAGCCUCACAGUAGAGUGCUGUUUGAAUUGAGCGCCGUGACUUUAAGGGCAUGAGGACAGGGGGGUGUGAACAGGGACAGACAGGGUGGCCUGGCCUGGUGUUUCUAAGAAGCGACGGGCGUCAGUUGGCCUGAGGUCUCGAAGAGAAUGAAACGGAACGACAGGGCCGAUGUCUGCGGGACGUCCGCUGGACAGAUGCGUAGUGACAGCCUGGUCGGUGUUGACAGUGGCGUCCGGCCCUGCGUCGGGUUUGGCGAAUGGCGUCUGUGCGUGUUUGAGGGCAUUUAGACUGCGGAGUUUCAGCAGUGGGGCUAGCUACCUAGCAUUGUUCGCUUGUAGUGUCGUCAUAGUUACUGGAGUGUUUGGAAAAUCACUUCAAGUACACUGAAAACUCCAGAUUAAACCAGCCUAAACUGGUCAAGAUGGUUUAAGCUGUGUUUUUGACAGUUUUGGCUGGCCACUAGCCGACCAACCUAGAUAGUCAGCUAGUCCACCAGUUUGACCACCAGUUUACUCUAGCAGCUUUGUCCUGCCACAGACCAGCUAUGACCCACUAGCAGUGAAGUGUCGAAAACACCUCUUAAAUGCCAGUUUGCAAUCCCAGCUCGUCUUAGCUGGAAUUUUCAGCGGGGUUUUGAGCACAGUUAAUUUGUGUUUUGUCUCUCGGGCCGGACGUGCAUCUCAUUUUGUUGUUUAACAGACUAAACGCAGGCCGAUCAUAUCUGAUCAUAUUAGACUUUAGCUGGGUUAUUGAGCUUGUGAGCUGUAUUGCUAAUACACUUUAGGCACUGUUGCAUGGAGUAUAGACUAUUGGAACAGGGUUCCCCAGCCCUGGUCCUGGGGAGCCACAGGAUCUCUUAGUUUUUGUUUUCACGUCAAGGUCGGCACCCAAUUCCAACCCAAGAGACCGAGGGAGGGGGGCUUUACUGUGCAAUCAACUGCUCUUUUUCCCCCGCACUGUAUUCUUUAACAGUAAUCAAAUUUGGAUAGUAUUUUGAGGUUUAAUUAAUCAGUGGGGAAGUGUGUGUUCAGUUUUUUUAAAUUAGUUUUUUAUUUUAAUGCUCACGAUUUUUCAUCAGCGAUGACCGGUUUUUAUCGGAUGUAACAGCACGUGCUACUGUACCUCCCCAUUUCAUGUCCUGUUCAGUUGCGUGGUUGCAUUCUGUGAUACUGAUGUGCACAUCUCAGGGGUUAUAUUGCAUGUAGAUAGAUAUGCCGCUUCGGUACAUGUGGAUGAGCAUGCACAAUGGACAUCCAUAAAUAUAGAUUCCGAUGCAGUGCGUACAUCGCGUGAAUAUAGAUGCAGCUGGACACACUACAUCUAUAAACGCAUGCCGAUUUUGAACGGUGCUCGAGACGGUCCAUUCUUGCUCUGAGAGGGGUAUUUUAGGCAGCCUAAAGUUAUUAAAUAGGACUGUGAUGGAAAAAAGCUUUUUACAGCCAUUCAGUUAACAACCUUCCAGUCAUAAAAAUCCAUUUUUAUGUUUCAAGGUCGACAAAGGAAAACCGAAAAUGAAGACUCCGUACCGCAGAGCGCUAAGUGACGGGGACGUUGCCUGAUAUUUCCUGUAAUGCCCAUUCAUUUUUUACCCAGGUUCUGUCUGUUCGUCUCUCCUUUGUUAUUUCCCGAAACCGGUCUCUUGAGUGACCCCCCUUCUCUGGAUUAUUAGUAGAAUGAUAAUUGCAUGUAUUACCGAGAAGAGCUCUCUAAAUAUGGGCCAAAGAUAGGUGGCUUUUCAGAAUCUGAGUAGCCCAUUCCCGUUGUCUAAACGCAAAAUGCUAAAUGCUAUUGGGGCUCAUUAGAAUGGCAAAAUAAAUGCACCUGGAGAACAUGGUGUUAUCGAAGUGCUGCGUGUUGGGAAGUGGCUGCCAUUAAUCAAAACGAGAGGUAAAUUUUGGGCAAACGGUGAAAUGUGAAUCAGAAUUGGGGCCAAAAAGUGAGUCUCGAGUUCUGAAGAUAUGAAAUGUCUGACUAAUUUUUUGUUGUUGUUGUUGUUGUUGUUGUUGUUGUUGUUGUUGUUGUUGUUGUAGCACACAACAAGUGGCUCUGCUUUCACAAAUACUAUUGCAGUAUUCCUGUCUCCUGUGGCUCCUCUUGCGAUGGCAUUGUUACAAAUUUAAUUUAACAAUUCAGUUUUUACUGACUAAAAAUGCAGCAGAAUGAUUCCUCGCGUUGUACAGUUGACGAUAAGCAGCUCACCGAAGAAAGAAUGAACGGUUCCCUUUUUCGUUUGUCGCGGCGUGUGCGGUUCAGGCUGCUUUUGGGCAAGCUAGCGGAAGACCCUCCGCUGCAGCUGUGGGGAACAGGGUCAUUACAACUGAACAGGAGGCCAAGCGGGGACGUGAGAAUUACAGGCUUCUCAGUGACGCUGCUGCUGAAAGUACAAAUGAAUGCUAUAUUUAUCGUCCUUUCCAUGUGUGUGCUGUUAAGCAAAAUGUUAAAAAAAAUACGUUUAAAAAAAACCUUGGUGUAAUUCCAGUUUAUGGCAAGUUCUAAGUGAUAAAAGCCAGUUAACUGACAAGAACGUUGAAGCUCAGUAUCUCAGAACUGUAGAAAUGGCGGAUGGAAACCUGUAAUUUUCAGAUUUUGAAAAGGGACACAACAUGUAUGUCGAGUUAAAUUAUCUGUUUUGUUUGUCAGAAGGACCACCGGUAAUUUAAGGAGCGUGUGUCAAGAGCGGGUCCUGAAAAGUAAUGACUGCCUCAGUGAUGAUUCAUUUUAUGUGCAUGGGCGGCAUAAAAUGUUGUGCGUGCGCGUGUGUGUGUGUGUGUGUGUGUGUGUGUGUGUGUGUGUAUGCGCGUGCGCGUGUAUGUGCUUGUGUGUGUUAUAGUGUUUCCUUAGAAACAUUUCUCUUGUGUUACCCUCUGUACAGUGAACACUGUAGACUUACAGCUGUCAGCGCUUUUACUUUAUUAAUUUAUUUAUUUUAGUUUUUUUUUUUUUUUUUUUUUACAAACUCUUAAGCUGUGCACUUUGUUUUUUGUUUUUUUUCUAAUUAUGUUCACCAUGUGUAUUGAUUAUGUGUUCUGUGUUUCCUGUUGCAAAAUGUGAAUAGGCUGACUAUACAUAGAUAUCAGUUCAAGGUGACCUCUGCAGAUCUGUAUCCAGUUUAUCUCAAAGGUUAGUUUAAAUUAAUUUAGCCAUGCCAUAAUGUUCACUGUAAAAAGGCUUGACAUUAGCUUUAAAAAUGACCAUAUUAGCCAAAAAGCACAAUACUCAGCAAGAGGAAUGUUUCCAAGGAAACGGAUGAUGGUAGUUUUAGUGUGUCUUGCGCCCUGUACAUAUAAAUAUCUUAUCUGUCAGAAAUGAUAUUGUAUUUAAAUAUGAUUACAUAGCUAAGAGGAAUCAUUUACGCAUACCUGAUUGGGUGUAACUUUUUUCAGAGCCUGCUGUUAAUGUGCUGUUAAUGUAGUUAAGUGCUCAUGAAACCUUUCCUUUUUAAUGGCUUGCUACAGUGCUCCCAGAAUGCAGAUUAAAAUGUUUCCCCAAACGAUUUUGUCCACUUGCCACAAGACCAAUUGACAUAAGGCCGUAUUGCAACCACUUUUCUACCGAUAACAGAUCGGUCGUACUCAUAGAAUUACUGACGUCAACAAAAAAAAAAACCCCCAAAAAAACCUUUGUUUCUGCCA